AGAACGAACGUUGGCGGCGUGGAUUAGGCAUGCAAGUCGGGGGAAUCCCAGCAAUGGGGGAACCGGCGUAAGGGGCAGUAAUGUGUGGGUACCUACCCUAGGGUUCGGGAUAGCCAUCAGAGAUGGUGGGUAAUACCGGAUGAUGUCGUGAGACCAAAGAUUUAUCGCCCCGGGAGGGGCCCACAUGAUAUUAGCUAGUUGGUGAGGUAAUGGCUCACCAAGGCUAAGAUGUCUAGCGGGUGUGAGAGCACGACCCGCGCCACUCGCACUGAGACACUGGCGAGACACCUACGGGUGGCUGCAGUCGAGGAUCUUCGGCAAUGAGCGCAAGCUUGACCGAGCGACGCCGCGUGAGCGAUGAAGGCCUUCGGGUUGUAAAGCGCUGUCGAAGGGGAGGAAAUUGUAGUGGGUUCACCCAUUAUAUUGACCGAUCCUUGGAGGAAGGGCCGGCUAAUCUCGUGCCAGCAGCCGCGGUAAUACGAGAGGCCCAAACGUUAUUCGGAUUUACUGGGCUUAAAGAGUUCGUAGGCGGUUCGGUAAGUGAGGUGUGAAAGCCCUCGGCUCAACCGAGGAAUUGCGCUUCAAACUGCCGGGCUCGAGGGAGAUAGAGGUGAGCGGAACUGAUGGUGGAGCGGUGAAAUGCGUUGAUAUCAUCAGGAACACCAGAGGCGAAGGCGGCUCACUGGGUCUCUUCUGACGCUGAGGAACGAAAGCUAGGGGAGCAAACGGGAUUAGAUACCCCGGUAGUCCUAGCCGUAAACUAUGAGUACUGAAUUGGAGGGCCCUCCAUGGCCCUCCAGUUGAAGCGAAAGUGUUAAGUACUCCGCCUGGGGAGUAUGGCCGCAAGGCUA
rnacentral:rRNA from 1 species